UCCACUUGGAGGAUUCUAAACACCCUUGUCAGGGAUGGGGAGCAAGGGGGAAAGGAGUGGAGCUUGGGAACGCCUCCAGGCACUCCAGCUGCUUGACUGUGGGCAACUGUUAACUGAGCUUCAUUUAUAGAUAGUGAUAAUACUGACUCCCUCAGCAGUUGAGAGACAGAUACCUGCAAGAUCUUCUCUCAUCCUUGGCAGUUUUUCAGGGACAUGUGCAGUCUGUCAACUGGGCUUCUCUUAGGAAGGGGGAUGAGAUCUUAUGGUUCCCUUUCAUUCAGGACAGGGGUUCUUGCUGAAGUGUCCAGAGAUGAGCAGGAGCAGGGAAUGGAAUGAGUGGAAGUGGGAAGGAAAGAGAAUAAAGAAGCAAGAUUGAUUCCUGCAGCCUCUGAAACGCUCCCUCUGGGACUGAUUUCUGAAAGCGUGUCUUUGGACAGAAAGAAAUCUGUAUGCAGGACCCCUCACCCUAUGGGUGGUACUCAGAGGCAGAGAUGAGCAAGAUGGUCAGGGAUGUGCAGUGCACCUGACUUGGAGGAGUUCGGAAAAGAGCACCAAAAGUAGCAAAUAGGUGGUAGGAGAAGACUCGGCCACAGGUAAGAGGGAGGCGGGAGGAGAAGGCUGGGGUGGCAGAGGAGAAGCUUCCAGGCAGAAUGGACUAAAUGGCAAGUGGAGCAAGUGAGAGUGCUGCUUUGGGGCCAGUGUGAUCUCAGCAGGCUCUGGCCAAGAAGAGCUUGGAGAUGCUGCAAGGAGGCUGGGGAUGGGGCCUUCCACCCCAUGUGCUAUUGCGAGGGUCCCUCUGUGAUUGCUUGGGACUUCUCCAGGGUAGGCAGGUUCUGAAGGACAGCAAGAGCCAUGUGCUCAGCCUUGGUGUCUUGAGGACACGGCACCAGCUAACUGCACAGGCCACAUCUGUCCCCAGAGUGAUCAAAGGUAAACAGCUCCCUUAGCCUAAGGCUGGCAUGGAAGAGUCACAUGCUGUCACAAUGGGAGGCAAGGCUUCCUGAAGGAGUUGUAACUAAAUCCUAAAGCCUGGAAUUUAUUGGAUGGAAGAGAAGGGAAGGGCUCUCCAGCUGAGGCCUGCCAGGCAGGGCACAGGCAGGAGCAUGCAUGAGUUGCUGGGACCCCGUCUUCUCCUCCUGUCUCCUCCUGAUCUGUGUACUUCCUGGAGACAGGAGCAGCAGGGUUCAGCCUCAACUUUCCCAGGCCUCAGAGGGAGAGUAAUAGGUUAAUCUCCAAGGUCCAAGCCAGGCAUGUCCUGGGCUUCUCUCCCCCUCUGCCUUCCCACUGAUCCCCAAGGGCUACUGGGGUUGGGAGGAAACAGAGGAGAAGGGAAAUUCACCUCUGAUCAAGGAUGCACAAAGCUCAGUCUCUCAGCAGUGGAUACAGGCAUCGAUCGAUGGUUCAAGACAGCAAAACCAGGACGAUCUCCAUCAUAGAGUCACUACGCAGCAAGAGGAGGAAGGAGCAGGUUGACUCACUGCAGGCUUUGAGGGGAGACUUGGAACAAGCAUGGCCAUGAAAGGUGAGCAGAAUUAGGACCCUCAGGGCUGAGUGUGAGACAGUCAGAUAGACACUCCACAGCAAGAGGCACGCCAUGGACAUGUGAAAAUGACCCCAGAGCCUACAGCCAGUAGCUGGCUCCCUUUCUCAGCACUGUUGGAACCAGUCCUCUGGGUAGGCGGGCCUGUUGCUUGGAAGCCCACAGAGCCCUGCAGGGCCCAGGCCUGCAUGCAUUGCACUGUGCAGGCCAGGGGACUGGGCAAGGUCUAGUUAGCUGUUCCAGGUAACAAAAAGUUGUCCUCAGAGCAGUAUGACUGGACAAGGUGGCAGAGACAGAUGAGACCCCAAGGAAAGGAAAGGAGCUGCCAGCCCUGCUUAUGCUGAGCUGCAGACCACCACUGACCCCUCUCCAGCCCUGGAGAGGGAAGCACAGGCCCGGGAGGCAAGGUCUUGGCCCACGCUGCUCACCCUGCGCAGCUAGCUGUGCUGUCUGGUCCUAACACCAGGGGUGCCUUUCUCCCUGAUCUCCUGUCAUAUGUUGCCCUAGACACACCUCUGAUGUGACUCUCACUAUGCUUGGAAUAAAAUCCCUUUCCAUGGUUUGUUGGCAGCGGGGCCGUUCAGGAUCUUGCUCCUUGCUUCCUGUGUCUGUCCACAUCUCCUGGGCUUCCUCCUGUCCUCAGAUCCAAGAAGGUUGUAGCACAUAGAAGGCACUCGAUAAAUAUGUCAUACAUGUAUAUUAGAUAAAUGAUGCAAGUUAAGGGAGGUUGGGCCUGGUGGGAGGGCAAGGACAGGGGCCUGCUAGAGAGGUGUACCUGCUGGGGCUGGCAGCCAGCAUAGGCCUGCCUGCUCACACGUGGCUCUGUCAGCCCAUGAUCUGUUUCCUCUGGUCUUUCUUCUGGGGCGGGAGAUGGAGAGGAGCUGAUACUGCUCCAGGGAUAAGUAGGAUUUGGAGACAGACAAAGCUUUCAAGAGGCUCCAGCACAUUCUAGAAGACUGUUCACCCCACCUGCCCUCUCCAGUGAUGAUGUGGAGGCCUCUUAGGAGAAGACGCACACAUAAUGGUGGUUUCUCUCAGGAAUGCCUCUGGCUGCAAUAUGUCUUCCCCUUUGGACCCCACAAACUGUCCAUACAACAAUGACAGCCCCCACAUGCUUGAUGUGAUUGGCUGUUUUGGAAAAGCCAGAGAGGAGGCUGAAUUUUGAGUCAAAAUGGAGACAGCCUCAGCCCACAUGAUGAGGGAUCAGCUAUAUGCAUUUUGGCCCCAAGAAAGGGACUGCUAAUGGGCCAUAAGAGUGGCUCAGGGAGGGCCCAGCUUACAGAGGCUUAGAGGAGGGGCCUCAGGAGGGACACAGCCCAAGGACUCACCCUGGGCCUUCUCCCUGACUGCUCUGAGAGUUGCCUUCUGUCUGCAGAAGCUUCUAGAAAAUUUAUCAACAGGUGUUCCAAUCUUCCUUUUUUUUUUCUUGGCACAGAACUACCCUGCUCGUUCUCAUCAUAUUUAUUUCCUUUAACAAAUGUAUGUGUUAUUUAUUUAAGAAAACCUAAUACCUGGAGUGUUUAGUGUAAUAACAUCUUCUGUUGUAGCUGAUGAAUACAGGCCAAAGUAUAUGUACUUAGAAAAAUGAUGUGUCAUGGUUUGGUGUUUUCAUUUCUGAAAUCUAUAAUCAGAUAUGAAACCAAGAGGCAGCUUCUGUCCUGAAAAGCCAGGAUUUCUGCUCCUGUGUGUGCAUGUUUGGGGGCAGCAACAUAGGGGUGAACUCUGUUCCCAUCACACACACGGUGGUCUGCUGACUCUGCCAUUCAGCGUCCUUUCCACAGCUCUGCAAGUGCCUGAGAGGCUGUUCCCUGGAGCAGUAGAGCUGGGGCCCCAGGCCUGAGUUCCAGCUCUGCAUCUGGCACUUGAUUCCUGACAUCCCCAGGCCUCCGUUUCCUGAUCUGUAAAAUGGAUUUAAUGACAGCUUAAGGACCUGCCUUGUUGAUCAAGCUGUAAAACCCUUAGAACAGAGCUUGGCACAAAGAAUUUUGCCCCUGGUUAUGGUGAUACCAAAGCCCUACCACCUGUAUAAGUUGAACUCAGUAAACCACAGGGAGAAAUGAGUCUUUUCUGAGAUGUCCCCAGAAGACUAGCCAGGCUCAUAGUAGUCAGUAAGUAUUUUCAGAAAUAAGUAAUUGGGAAGAGCAAAGGUUGUAAUUCAGAGAUGACAAUUUAAAGUUAGAAUAUUAUUUCCAAGAGGAAAUUCCAACAAAAUAUCCCUCAGGAAAAAAAAAUAAAAGAAGGGGAAACCAAAUGGUCUGAGAAGAGAAGGCAUUCUCAAGAUUCCUGGUGACUGACCAUGUAUAUGAGCUCACUAAAGGCUCUGAGAAGUCCUGCAGUAAAGCACUGAACCCUGUAUAUCUCAGCCAACACAGCUACCUCAUUGUUUUCUUUCCUCCUUCCUCCUUCCUUUUUUUUUUUCCUUAUGCUGGAGUACUUUGAAGUGGGCAGUCACCCAGGGAAUCCUAGGUAUAGGAUGCCAUUCUAAGCAGGGGACAGAGCAAUAAUGCCACUCACCAGGAUUUCUGUAAUGCUCAGCAUGUGGCCCAGGGUCUCAGCCCUGUCAGAGGCUGCCACCCGAACUACAGGGACAGAGGUCUUCUUUCUAGAGCAUAGUAUCGGUGUUCUCUUUGAAUUGACCUGAUCUUGGUCAACACAAAAGGAUCUCAUGUGUUUUCUCAUAGAGAAACUUCUAUAUAUGAAGCUAGGAUUUAUAUCAUCAAAUAAUUUUUUCCAAGCCUAGGUGCUUCAUGGAGAAAGAAAGACCCAAAACACUUCAGACAAACCAAAGCCACCCCAACUCAAAAACCCUGAGAAGGGAGCACGCUGAAGAGUUUCUUAGCCUUUUUGGGUUUCUGACUAGUUCAUGUCACCACAGCUUUUCUUCUAUUGCAGCUGCAAGGACAGCCUUGAUACGGUCCCUUCAAAGUGGCACCCUGCCUCUGUAUACACUCCUCCUGUAAUGGGGUGCUCACUGCCUCCCAGGCUGCCCUUGGUAGUAUUCCUAGCUCCCACCACCAGAAGGCGCUGUUGAUAACCUUGAGAUGUCUCCAGGGACACCCACAUGGAGUGGCUGUCCAGUGUAGUGGAUAAAACCUGGACUCAGGUGGCAUUUCCUAGGAUAGAAUCCCACCCCAUUGCUUACAGGCUAUGCACAAAUGGCUAACAGCUGCCCCUCUCUCUGCCCCAGUUUGCUCAUGUGCAAAAUGAAGGACCAUACACUGUGCUUAUAAGGUGGUUGAGGGAUGCGAGCCCUUACAGCUGUGUCUGGCCCGUGGCACUGUGCAAGUAUGUGACAUUAUUCUGUUCUUAACUGGGACUUCUUGGGGCACCUUUCAGUUCAGUCUUUUCCUGGAUUUGCCACCAGUAUGAACAAGUCUGGAGCUUGUUCUCCCCAGGCAGCUGUCAGAGCCCACUGCUGCUUCCACAGAACCCCCAAGACGGGGAACUUUGUAGAGUGGAGAUUUAUUUUGGUGUACGCUUCUGGAGGCUGGAAGGUCCAAGGCCAGGUGGCAGCAUCUGGACACAAAUGGAAGAGACAAGACACAAGGGAAGCCUCGCUUAAAACAACUGGCGCCUGGGAUACCAAUCCAGUUCCUCCCAGUGCCACGAGGAAAGCAGCGGGGGCCAGAAUUAGAGGACCAUUCUCAUAGGUGUGGACGCAGCCUUCAAAACAUUCAUCAGGCUUUUGUGGGGGGGAGUUUGGGUGUUCUGAGAUUAGUCUGCAAAACUGGAGCACAUUAGGCUGCUCAGGUUUGGGGUGCUCCCCUUUCAUGCAGAAGCUGUUGGAAAAUGCCAGCACUUUAUCUUUUGUCCUUAUUUUUCUUUGAAUGAAUAGUAGAUGUUUGUGUGCGGGGGUUCUGAAACAGUAGCUGUUGGCUGAAAAAUCAAAUUCUGGUCUUCAGCACCUGCUCUGUUCCUUGGUCAAGUGCUCUGGAGCCUAGGUCCUUGUCUUCCUGCCUCAGUGGUGGCUCUGUUUUCAAUGAUGAGGCCAGCAAAGGAUGGCAUUGGCUCCUGACAGUGGCAGAAGGACAUUCAUCACACAGACAGGCUGCAGUGGCCGUCACUCAUUCAAGCCAUGGUCUCAGAGAUUCUCAGGAUCAGCUCCACAUACCACUGGUUGGUCUGUGAUCUAUUGAGAAAUCCUGGCUGGCUUCAAUUCAAUAAAUAAGCUGCUGAGACCUCCAAUAGCACUGCAGGCUGAAGCAUUGUGAGCAAAGCUAAAGAGAAGAUGGGCCCUGAGGUUUUCUAGGCAGUCAGGACUCUGCCUGCACUUGCAGGUGGGAGGACACUCCCUUUACUUGGCUUUGCCUCCAGACCCACCACGCCCCUCUGCAUCUCCUCCUUUCCUUCCAGCCCUGAGCAACCUGGCAGCUGGCCACUCCCCGGUGAGAUUCAUUGGGAGACUUGCUGGGUGAGAACUGGCCAUGUGGAAGCCACUGGAGGCCAUUAGACCAUUAAUGGUAAAGCAAGUCCAGACUAGCAGAGUGGCCUGACCUCACUGCCUGCUUCCCAGAGGGGUGAAGGUGGGUCUGAGUCAGCAGCCUCAGCAGUGAGCCAUGAAUGCUGCUGCCCUUGGAGACCUGGUGACAUGCAGCCAAGUCCUGGGAAAACCUCCCUUUGUUCCCUGGGCCUGUCAAGCAAUUGCCACUGUCUCCCUAGGCUCAACAGACUGUCCCGUCUUAAGCUAUAGGCUGUCCAGGCAGCUGGACAUACUUUAGCAGGAAUACAAAUGGAAACACUGCCUGGCAUUGUGCCGUCACUUCCCAGAAGCAUCAAGGAUGGCCAGUGACCGUCAAGAAGUUGUGGGGACAGGGCAGAACCUGCAGAGCCUCUGGAGAGACUCAUCCCUGCUGACACCCACUUCAAAUUGUGACCUCCAGAAGUGGGAGGGAGCAUAUUUUUGUUGUUUGAAGUCCCCAAGUUGUGUGGCAACUUGUCAUGUUGCCCUAGGAAGCUAAACUGUUGACCAAACAUGAGGACCCAGAAUUCCUCAGGGAUGUGGAGUUGUAGGAUAAUGUGACAGAAUUCCGACACCUCGCUGCUGUGCUCUUGCUCUUGUUUUAUUUAGACUCUGUUGUCUCAGGCAAGGAUCCAUGUGUGUGUUGGGAGGCGGGGAGCUGGGGUGGGGCCCAGGAUCCUGUGCACGUGAGGUAAGUGCUCUACCACUGAGCAAACCCCAGCCCACACUUUGGCUUCCACUCGUGCCUCUGGACCCAGACCAGACUUACCCCAUGAGGCACUGGGCCUUCUGCUCUCAUUGCCAUUCUCAACCCUCCCAGAACUUUGUUGGUGUUUCUUUUUGCUGGCUGCUGCUGACCAGAGAGAAUUAUAGGCAUCAAGGAUCCCUAGACUCUACUGUCUAAACUGUGCUAUCCUAGGAGAGUAUAGUUUGUCAGACUGUCUAGAGCCAUGCGAGUGGUUGGGGGAGAUUCAAGAGUCAGGGAUUCUCCAUAGUUUUGGUUUUCUGUGCUUCUAGAGCCAAGAAUGCCUUUUCGAUACUAUAUACCUCUACCUGUGUUCCUUGGGACCACUGUGUCCUGUGAAAUAUUACCAAACAUUUGUUGAAACACCAUGAGCAGGUAAGACUAAAAACUACUCAAAUAAAUGGAGUUCAACCAGCUUAUUCUCUGCAGAACUUGAUGGGGCCUUUAGUGCACAUACAAGUUGUGCCCCCAGUAUUCAGGGACCCUGAAACCAACUGAUCACAGAGUUUCCUGUUAUUUUGUCCACUUCUGUCUGCCUCUGCCUUGAUGAGCUUCAGCAAUAAAGAUAUCCCUCCCUUCUUUCUCAUCCAGCCUUUAAGAAAACCACCCUGGCCCUCCCAUCAUUCUUGUACAUCAGUGGAACAACACAGCUUCCAGCCCAGGACCCUUCACCAGGUCUCUGCCUCGGGCACGAGUUCACUUGUGAGUGGUAUAAAUGACUACAUAAUCCAGGGCCAGGCCAUGACUCCCUCUCAACAAGCUGUCAUUUCCAUCCCACAGUGCAGAGGUCCUGAAAUCCUUGUGUGUGGACUUGCAGAGCCACCCCGUGACACUCUUAUUGUCUGACACUCCUUUACUCUUGCUGUCUGAUGCUCCUUUCCUGCUGCAGGAGCCUGGGGAACAUGGCACCCACCCCAUCUCACACCCCAACCCUCAGGAGCUCCCAGCUUAAUGCAAGACUUUCCUCUACAAAAUAAUGGACCGUUCACUGGCCUAGCCUCCACUGGACUCAAGGCCCAGUGGGCCUCCCCAUGGUGGCAUCUCCAGCAUUUUCCACAGUGCUGGGUGUUUCCAGGUUUUCACACACCUGCUUCUUGAUUUGAUGAUUCAAGGCCCAGGACACUCAGGCCAGGUGGUGACUAGAGGGUGAGGUGCCUCUAGGAUGAGACCACUGGGUCCAGGCCUCCCUGAUUCUUGUGCUCUUGGCUUCUUUCCUUAGUAUCCAUUGUGUUUGGUAUUAGCCCAGUUACAAUAUUUUUCUUUUCCCAUGGGCAUAUAUUGUUUUAUAUUUAGCCUUCUCUAACCCUAAUAUAACUUAUAUGUCUUCUAAUUACCAUCAUUUUUUUAAAAAUCUGUCUUUCAAUCAGAGCAUUAGUACAUUUAUAUAUAACAAUAUUUACUAUAUGAAUUAAAUCUACUAUCUUAUCAUUUGCUGUCCAUUUACCCCACCUGUUUUAUGUCUCUUUCCCUCCCCUCUUAUCUUCUUUAAUUAGUAUUUUAUUACUCCAUUUCCCCCCAUUAUGUCGUUGCUAAUAAAUUCUUUACUACCCAUUUAGUGGUUAUCUGAACAAUUACA